UAGAAGAGGAGCAAUGACAGAAAAGAAAACACAAACUUCUCUUCCUCUAAGUUUUCUUUUUAUGCUUCUAUGUUUAUCCUUUCAUGUUAGAGUAACGGAUGCUAGACUUAGACUCCGUCACGUAGUUCAUAUUCCUACUCCAUCUUCGGGAUACACUCCGCCCUCUAAACCGUGUGGAAGUGGUAUUCACCAUGUUGCCAGAGAAUCAGAGAAGCCUUGUAGACUCCCUAGAAGACCUUCUGGUGCAGAUCCUUAAUCUCCAUGUUACAGGAGAUAAAUAAAGAAUUGAAUAUGUCCCAUUGGGUUUCAUCUUCCUAACAAAUUUUAGAAUCAUUUGUUUCGUUCUUCCUUCUAGUCUUACGUAGACAUGAAUUUGUAUUUCUUUUUAAAUUACCUUUAGUGUUCCAAUUUCUUAUUCUGUGGGUAUUGAACAAUGUAGCUUGUUCGAUAAGUUGCUUUACGUAUUAUUUUAUUUCUGUCCAA